CCUACGGGAGGCAGCAGUGGGGAAUAUUGGGCAAUGGGCGCAAGCCUGACCCAGCAACGCCGCGUGAAUGAAGAAGGCUUUCGGUUUGUAAAGUUCUUUUCUCAGGGACGAAGAAAGUGACGGUACCUGAGUAAUAAGCCACGGCUAACUACGUGCCAGCAGCCGCGGUAAUACGUAGGUGGCAAGCGUUAUCCGGAUUUAUUGGGUGUAAAGGGCGUGUAGGCGGGGGCGCAAGUCAGAUGUGAAAACUCAGGGCUCAACCCUGAGACUGCAUUUGAAACUGUGUGUCUUGAGUGCUGGAGAGGCAAUCGGAAUUCCGUGUGUAGCGGUGAAAUGCGUAGAUAUACGGAGGAACACCAGUGGCGAAGGCGGAUUGCUGGACAGUAACUGACGCUGAGGCGCGAAAGCGUGGGGAGCAAACAGGAUUAGAUACCCGAGUAGUC
rnacentral:rRNA from 1 species